ensembl:lncRNA
GUUGGUGGCACUGUCACAGAAGUGGGAAUGCGAGCUACUUGCUCAGGCCAGGUCCUGGGGUCUGCAGACCCUGCUCGCUCUGACCUGGACCUUCCACUGAAUGAUGGAGUGGCGCUGAGCACACGUGGCUAGGCGGGUGGCUGGUGGGUCGGGUAGCGUCUGGUUCAUAAUUGGGGACCUUGCGCUUAGUACCAUGGCAAGAGCUAUUUCCAAAGGAGAGUCUCUACAUUGUCAAGAGCGCAUGGACGACUCCAAACUCCAUGAGAACUCUGUGGUGAUGCCAUCCACCAGGGGGCUCAUCCUGGCUCCUCGCAAUUCCCUCACGUCCAUGGACAAUUUGGGGAAGACUGACUGUUGAACCACAGCUGGUCCCUGUAUGCUGGCUCCCUGUGUCUGUCUUAUGAUAAACUCAAAAGCCUUCAAAGAAAAUAAGCGAAUAGCAGUAAAAAUAAAUUUAGAAGAUCCAAGGCCUGAAGUUCACAAAGUUUAAUUUUGGAAGAAAUGAAAAGCAUAAGUAAACAACCUAAGAAGCUUGCACAUUCGAAAAGGAAAAAUGAAGCCGCGUAAACUGAGAUCCCGAACACCCAAGAAGCUAUUAAAGAGGAUUAAAAGAUGACACAAAGUUUUAAAAUGAUUCAAGAGGAAGAAAGUAAAAAACAAUAGAAAGACGAAUGAUUAGGGAAUAAAGUUGAAACGGGCAGAAAGACAGUGUUGGAAUGAGACGGCAGUUUGAAUUCCAAUGCUUCGCUUGACGAAGGUGAAAGGACCCUUCAGGUGGUCUACAUGGACCCCCUGCCUCUGUUUAGAGGGGAGACCAGGCAGGGCCCUCGAGCUGGCAUCCAAGCGAAUGUGUGGCUCCCUGCCUUAUUCAAGCAUGGGUUCGGGAGCUGGACGCCUGGAGGCUGAAGCCAUUUUGCCCUCAGCAGGACAUUGGCACAUGGCCACGGGGGUCCCAAGAGACGUCCUAACAGCCUUCACUGCCAAGCGGCCAGCAUCCACACAUUCACUCUCCAUCCAGGCAGAUGCACUGGAUACGACAAUGCCCAGAAACGGCCAAAUCCCCGAGGCUGGAGUGAGAAGAAGGAGUUGGUCUGAGCUUCUCUUCCAGAAGCUUCUUCCUCCAGGCACUUCAUUUAUGAUAACAUCUUGAGCGUUUGGCUCACAAGACAGGUCAGCCUCCUCUUUCCUCGUGACCCUGAGUGCCCAGCACAUUCAGGACACCCCCUGCAUUGUAUCACAGAUUCUGUUUACUCUUCCUGGAAACACCCUUGCUGGACACAAUGGCUCUUCAGACAACCCUGGCAACUCUCACAGUCAGGCAUGUAUUUACCAUCAGACCUGCAGACCUUAUCAUUUGCUCUAAUCUUCUGUUGGGGGUCACAUCCAGUGAUUCUGAGGUCAAGCUGGGUUUUACUUCCAGGCCACAGCUCAGAGCUCUGCAUUGCUGCAGACCAGACACAGCAUCAGUGAAUUUCCGCGCAGCACCUGAGACUGCAAACUGGUGGCCCGAGGGCCUGGUGUGCCUGGGGGACAUUGACUAAACCUGAAUGCCCAUCUGAUGGACCUCUCCCCACGCUGUACCACAAGCCCUUAGCAGUCCCUUCCCCAGCCUUGCUCAUCUAGGAAGUCUGCCAGGCCCUUGAAAGAUUUGGGUCUGAGAGGCCACCCACCCCACACACUGCAUGAGCUCCAGACUCGGGCGCUAAGACGGGGGCGGGUCUCUGGUGCAUCAGGGAGCCUGCUCUGGUUGCUGACACCUCUCCUCUGCACCGUCCCGUUCUGUCCACUCUGAAGGGUGGGGACCCUGGGCCCACCAGGAAAGCGUGAGCCUGGGUGUCAGGGCAAUCACAAGAGGGCCUGGCCUGAAAGCCCCAGGCUGGUGGGGCUCCUCUCUGAAAGCAAAAAUUAAUUUGGGCUGGGGUUGGCAUUGCAACUUCUGCCAAAUAAGGGAAGCACAGAGGCCCAGAGAGACCCAGCAGACGGUUCCUAUAUUUUCACAGCAGACGAGAGCGGCCGUGGUGGGGAAGACUGCUGCACCCUGCCUGCUAUUUUUAGCCUCCUCUCUGCCACGCUGGCGAGGCUCUGCUGUUAACGGCAGGCAAUGGGAUCCGGGUGUGCAGGCUGGCCUGCUCCCAGCGGCUGUGUGUUUCCUUAAAAGGCAGGAGAAUGUCCAAUCUGACGGCCACAGGGACCGGAGCAUGGACCCCAAGCGGCCGGCGAAUUUCCAUCCUAGAGGGCUCUUCAGGGACAAGGAAACCGACAAGAGCCUGAGUGUGAGCGUCCUUUCAGUGAAAAGGGGUUUUUAUUUUGAAACUCAAAUAAAGGCAAGGAUUUGAGCUGAUAUACA